AUGAUGGAGAGUUUGAUCCUGGCUCAGGACGAACGCUGGCGGCGUGGAUUAGGCAUGCAAGUCGAACG
rnacentral:rRNA from 1 species